rnacentral:rRNA from 1 species
UGGGGAAUAUUGCACAAUGGGCGCAAGCCUGAUGCAGCCAUGCCGCGUGUAUGAAGAAGGCCUUCGGGUUGUAAAGUACUUUCAGCGGGGAGGAAGGCGAUAAGGUUAAUAACCUUGUCGAUUGACGUUACCCGCAGAAGAAGCACCGGCUAACUCCGUGCCAGCAGCCACGGUAAUACGGAGGGUGCAAGCGUUAAUUGGAAUUACUGGGCGUAAAGCGCACGCAGGCGGUCUGUCAAGUCGGAUGUGAAAUCCCCGGGCUCAACCUGGGAACUGCAUUCGAAACUGGCAGGCUAGAGUCUUGUAGAGGGGGGUAGAAUUCCAGGUGUAGCGGUGAAAUGCGUAGAGAUCUGGAGGAAUACCGGUGGCGAAGGCGGCCCCCUGGACAAAGACUGACGCUCAGGUGCGAAAGCGUGGGGAGCAAACA